GGAGCUUAGGUCCACAGAGAGGAGACCGAGAGAAUAGAGAAGAGAUGGAGUUCUAAGAUUUAACAGUUAAAGCUUUCAACACCUUCGAGUGAAUCUUCUCACCGCCUCCUCUACUAAGCCCCUCCGAAUCUCAAACCCUCGUCACCGCCACCAUCGUUUCUUAGAUUCUUCUUCACCGGAGUCGCCACCACCACCGCCACGCUCGUCAUAACCACCACUGGUCACCUCUCUUUCAUUGUCUGCGGUAGAUCAGAAGAAGAAGAAGAAAUAUAAACUUCAAAGUCAUUGUUUUUAUUCUGGUGAUGGAGACAGAGGCCAGGAUGUCAUGAGUGUCACUGUCUAUCACCGCUCUGUCUGUAAUUCACAGACAUGCAUCGAGAAGCAAGAUGGCGCAGAGCGAAUGCGGGAGAGAAGGAGGUGAGUUGUGGUGUUUCUAAUCCAUCUGAGAUCAAGGAAUUGAGCAUUAUAAAGGAAUUGCAUCUCAGGACAGUGAAAGAGUUCAAGAUCGACUCCUGAAAGGUAUAGCCAUGAUGAAGGAGCUGACACUUGGAACCAGAGACUACGUAGUCUCUUUUGGAGAGUGCUUGUUAACAAAGAUUUCGUGUGUCUUGAGAGGUUUAGAGACCAAGGGAAGAGGACGACCAUGACAGGAGGGAGAGGCGGAUUAGGUUUAGGUUUUGGCUUAAUGUGUUUUAAUUUGUUCUUUUGGUUUAAUUAAUUCUUGUUUAGUGUUGUAAAACUAAAUUUAUUUGUAACUGAAAUUAAUUAAUAAAUUAAUUAUU